UGUGCAAAGGUAGCAUAAUCAAUUGGCUUGUAAUUUAAGUCUGGUAUGAAUGUAGUUUUAGGCUAAAGCUGUCUCUUUAUGUUAAUUGAAAUUUACUUAGCCGGUGAAAAUACCGGCAGUUAUAUAAUAGACGAGAAGACCCUAGAAAUUUUUUGAAAAGUAUAAGUAAAAUAUAUAUUGGAUUUUGUUGGGGCGACAGAGUAACAGUUAACUUACUCUAUUUAAUGUGAAUUAAUUAUGGAAAUGUAAAUUACUCUAGGGAUAACAGCAUAAUUCUAUUAGUGUUUGUGACCUCGAUGUUGGACUAGGAAAGAUAAUAUUCAGAAGAUAUUAUUAUAGGCUCUGUUCGCGCC
rnacentral:rRNA from 1 species